rnacentral:tmRNA from 1 species
GCUAAUAUAGCUAUAGUAAUAAACGUAAUUUAGAAUAGAGGUUGCGGACUCGGGGGCAGUACCCGACGCCUCCACCAAUAUUUAAGUGUUAUAUAUGGUUUUUAUGUUACUCCUGCGAAAGCAGGAAUCCAGUCAGCAUGUACACACUUGUUGAUGUUUGUUUUAUCACUAUGUACCUAUAGUAAGGUUACUUUUUUUGGAUUCCCCCUUUCACACGGGAAUGACAUAAAACGAGCGACCAUAAUAACAAUUUUGGGGGCGAAAUAGGAUCGACGUGCUUAAUAAAAAAAUUGCUUUUACUCGGGAUGAUUCCACCGAUGACUUUUGUCAUAUGGGUCAAAACAAAGAAACGCAAACGAUAAUAAUCGUUAUGUAGGUGCUCCAGCUUUAGCUGCGGCUUAAACCUACGCGGCUUGGGUUGAGGGUUUGCCGGGCAACAGAAAAACCCUC